rnacentral:rRNA from 1 species
AGAGACCGGCGCACGGGUGCGUAACGCGUAUGCAAUCUACCUUAUACAGAGGGAUAGCCCAGAGAAAUUUGGAUUAAUACCUCAUAGCAUAGCAACUUCGCAUGAAGUCACUAUUAAAGUUCCAACGGUAUAAGAUGAGCAUGCGUCCUAUUAGCUAGAUGGUAAGGUAACGGCUUACCAUGGCUACGAUAGGUAGGGGUCCUGAGAGGGAGAUCCCCCACACUGGUACUGAGACACGGACCAGACUCCUACGGGAGGCAGCAGUGAGGAAUAUUGGACAAUGGGCGCAAGCCUGAUCCAGCCAUGCCGCGUGCAGGAAGACGCAUCUAUGGUGUGUAAACUGCUUUUGUACGGGAAGAAACACUCCCUCGUGAGGGAGCUUGACGGUACCGUAAGAAUAAGGAUCGGCUAACUCCGUGCCAACAGCCGCGGUAAUACGGAGGAUCCAAGCGUUAUCCGGAAUCAUUGGGUUUAAAGGGUCCGUAGGCGGUUUGGUAAGUCAGUGGUGAAAGCCCAUCGCUUAACGAUGGAACGGCCAUUGAUACUGCCAGACUUGAAUUACUGGGAAGUAACUAGAAUAUGUAGUGUAGCGGUGAAAUGCUUAGAUAUUACAUGGAAUACCAAUUGCGAAGGCAGGUUACUACCGGUGGAUUGACGCUGA